UACGGGGGGGGCAAGCGUUGUUCGGAAUUACUGGGCGUAAAGGGCUCGUAGGCGGCCAACUAAGUCGGAUGUGAAAUCCCCAGGCUUAACCUGGGAACUGCAUCCGAUACUGGAUGGCUUGAAUCCGGGAGAGGGAUGCAGAAUUCCAGGUGUAGCGGUGAAAUGCGUAGAUAUCUGGAGGAAUACCGGUGGCGAAGGCGGCAUCCUGGACCGGCAUCGACGCUGAGUGAGCGAAAGCCAGGGGAGCAAACGGG
rnacentral:rRNA from 1 species